rnacentral:rRNA from 1 species
UACAGAGACUGCAAGCGUUAUUCGGAUUCACUGGGCGUAAAGGGUGCGCAGGCGGUUGCGUGUGUUAGAUGUGAAAGCCUGGGGCUCAACCCCAGAAUUGCGUCUAAAACUACGCGACUAGAGUACCGGAGAGGAUAGCGGAAUUCACGGUGUAGCAGUGAAAUGCGUAGAUAUCGUGAAGAACACCAGCGGCGAAGGCGGCUAUCUGGAAGGUAACUGACGCUCAGGCACGAAAGCGUGGGGAGCAAAAGGG